rnacentral:rRNA from 1 species
GAAAUUUAAGAGCGUAUGGUGGAUGCCUAGGCUAGAAAUAGCGAUGAAGGACGUGGCGUGGCGACGAUAUGCUUCGGGGAGGUGCCUAGCAACCUUUGAUCCGGAGAUUUCCGAAUGGGGAAACCCCUCGUGCUUGCACGAGACCCUGCACCGUAUGGUGCAGGGAGCGUACCCGGGGAAGUAAAACAUUUCAGUACCCGGAGGAAAAAAGACUAAUAAGUAUUCCGUAAGUAGCGGCGAGCGAAAUCGGAAAAGCCCAAACCUGUCACGGCGCAAGUCGGGAUGGGGGUUGUAAGACGUGAGCUUCAUGUUUACAUGAAGGAAGUUACAAAAUUAUUUGUUAAAAGAAGUUUCUGGAAAGAAACACCCCAGAGGGUAAUAGUCCCGUAUUUGAAAACAAAUAAUCUUUCUUGCUCAUGUUCUUGAGUACCUCGAGACACGAAAAGCUCGGGAGAAUCUGCCGGAACUAACCGGCAAGGCUAAAUAUAUUUCUAGACCGAUAGUGAACUAGUACCGUGAGGGAAAGGUGAAAAGUAGCCCGGUUAGGGCGGUGAAAUAGACCUGAAACCAUAUGUUUACAAGGAGUCGAAGAGGGCGCAAGUCCUCGACGGCGUGCCUAUUGAAGAAUGAGCCAACGAGUUAAUUUAUGCGGCUUGCCUAAGUGGUAUACCCACCGAGGCGUAGUGAAAGCGAGCGCGAAUAGCGCGAAAUUUUAUGUCGCAUAUAUUAGACCCGAAGCCAGGUGAGCUUGCCAUGGGCAGGGUGAAGUCUCGCGAAAGCGAGAUGGAGGCCCGAACCGGUUGGUCGUGCGAUUCCUUCGGAUGACCUGUGGUAAGGAGUGAAAAGCUAAUCGAACCUGGUAAUAGCUGGUUCUC